ACGUGACUUAUCUUUUUUAAUUUUUUUCAUAGUUUUUUCAAAUAAGACGGACGGUAAACGUUGGACACGGAUUUCCACUGCUGCACUUAUUUUGGGAUGGAGGUAGGGGCUGUUUGGUUUAAUGCUUCAACUUGCCACACCACACUUUAGACUGCCACACCUCCUUAGCCUUGUGUUUGGUUCAUUACCUUAAUUAUGCCAAGCCACACUUUCUUACCAUCUUACCCACAUGUCAUAGACUCAAUCUUUUGCCUAACUUUACCACAAAUGUGGCUUACAAUUUGUAGGCCACAAAAAGUGUGGCAAGCCACACUUACCUAACAUUGUCUAAAGUGAGUUAUGACAAUGUUAGUUAAGAACCAAACAUGCUGGUAGUACUUCAAGAAUUUAUCUGGCAGGCAACAUAUGCUACUGGACGCUGAUAUUUGGCACCGGAUUCAGCCCAUCUAAUUUUGAGCCCAACCAGAUCUUAUCAUAUCUGUCAAAGUUUAUUCGGCCCAACUAUAUAUCAUUACGAGGCCCACCAGUGGCAGUGCUCCCCUCCCUAUUGGACCGGAGUACAACAAAGCCCAAUUGAAGAGACGGCCCAAUGAAUGGGCUGCAGAACAAGGCCCACGCCGCAAUUGCUCCGUGGAACAUAGGGAAGGAAAGCCUCGCAAGCAGCAGGCGAAGAAUCGAAUUGCGGCCUGCGGCAAUUUGUCAUCAAAACUCAAAGACAUAUUUCAGCUACUUGUCAAUUUGUCAUCGCAUACAAAGCAUCGUCUUCUUGUCAUCAGCAACUUGUUUGCGUACGAUUAUGAGCUAUGCUUUGGCCUACUUCCAUCAGCAAGUGUGCAAUACGUUGAGCUAGCAUCCAGUGGUCACUGGUUAGUUAGCAGUAGUUGUGUACUGCCAGUAUAGUAGUAGCUAACAGGAAGGCACAUUCAGUGUGUCAGUCGACGAGUCCAUACUAAGUCAUAACCUGGUUGUCCGUUAGCUGCAGGCCGGACCCGAUGCGUGGACCAAAAGAGUAUCGGAAUUCAGACACGCCACAUGAUUUUAUUGAUCGGUACACGCUGCAAGUAUGGCUGGGCUGGUCCAAGCCCAAAAUUAUUAAGAGCAAUGACCCGGUUUCAGUUGCAGGCAGCAAAUGGAAGAGAAUACUUGUAGUAUCCAGGAAAAUCUUCCUCUCAAAAACUUUGAAAUAUAUUAGGGCAUUGUUUAGUUCCAAACUUUUUCUUUAAACUUUCAACUUUUUCAUCACAUCAAAACUUUACUAUACACAUAAACUUCCAACUUUUCCAUCACAUCGUUCCAAUUUCAACCAAACUUCCAAUUUUAGCGUGAACUCAACACACCCUAGUAUUUGCUGCAGAACUGUAGAGAAGGAUUAUUAGAGCAUGUAACUGAUGAUGAGAAUGCUGAAUUAUUGAUGCACCAACUCUUCAUCCGGGACUGAUUCAAAGGGAUUUAGUCGAUUUUUCUCCCUCGAUUAAAUGGAAGACACUGGUCUUCUACUCUGUUAUCAUCUGUUCAGGAAACAGGACUGGAGUAGCCACAUUUACCAUCUGUAAUUAUAAAUUUAUAAUAUGCUCAUUUGACAGAAAUGACAUAUAUAUCAUCCAAUGCAAUGGAACAUGAGCAGAGAGUAGUAAUCUAGAGUAAAUGCCCAUCUGUUUGUACAUUAUCUUACCAAGGAUUUUUAUCAAAUCCUACCUGAACGAAAGCAAAGCCGAAAAGAAAAACCAUACUAAAAUAGAAGAGAGAUCAGGGAACAAUACACCUAAACUGCAAGCUGAGAGAAGCAGCACUGAAGAACAGGACACGACAUGGAUCUAUCUAUCAUCAUCUAUUGGAAUCUGGAUUCGGGCCACUCGGAACCUCAUGCUUGCUGUCGUCGAUGCCGGCCGAGUUCCACCUCCGUGGCCGGAACCUCCUCGUCCUCGCCGCCGGCAGCAGAAGGCGCCGUCCACCGGCCGGGACCGACGUCGCCGCCGCUGGCAACGACGACGACCUCACCUUUGCUUCUUCUUCUUCUUCCCCCGGAGGAGGAGCCAGCGACACGACGAGCAUAACGGCGCAGAGAAACGCACAGAGGCCGAGAAGCGGCAGCGCAGCAGCUGGUCUUCUUCCAUCUCCAAUCCAUCGAGCUCUUGCCAUGCAAGAAUCAGCUUGCAGUAAAGCCUUCGAUCUCCCCGAUCUCACAAGCCACCACUAACCAAAACUCCCAUGGGCAUCUGCCAGAAGACGAGACGAGAGCUUAGCUGAAAUAUCGCUCUCUCUAGCUAGCUGCCUCUCACUCUCACUCUCUCAGCGUGUGUGAGCUCAGCUAGCUCUUGUACCGUGGAGACAAUGCAAGCAGGCAGCUGUUCUAUUCUUUCCAGGAUUCACACAUGGGUUGGCUACUUGGCUUCUCUGGAGUCUGGACCAAAAGUUUGGGUUUCUUGCUUUGCUUGCUUGCUUGCAGGUGAAAUGGGAGAUGACCAUGUGUAUGCAAAGGCACGGAGCAGGGGUGGCUGCUUCUUAUCUACUGCCCGUGAAGAGAAGCAGCUGAGAGAGCUUUGUGUGAUCCAUCGUGUAUCUGACAGCAUCAUCACCAUACAUCGAUGGCUUUGUAGACGCCUCAGCAAGACAUGCCCCUAGAUUGUACUGCUACUGUAGCUAUAUCCAUUGCAUGCAUACGCAUGCUAAUUACUUGCAGUAUGGAGUACGUAGUACUAUGACUGUAUGAGCGUGAAUCAACAUCUGCAUUGUACUACGUACUGCAGAUGUAUGAUUGCACUCGCUAGGUGUGUGAGAAAUUUACAAUUGCUUCGAGUAUUUACUUUUGUCGGUCGCGAGCUCGCAGGAAAAAGUUGAUCAUGGAGGACGGAGCAGCAAAAGGACGCAAAGGACGCGAUGGAAAAGACGUAAGACGGCAUCAACUGAGAGCUUUGCUCAUCUUGAACAAAAUGAUGGGGGUGCUACGAUGUUAGCUCUGCCAUUCAACGUUUCCACAGGCUAAGCUAGCAAGCAUGAUAAAAAGGAGAAGAUUGUGAAAGCCUGAAAGGAGUAGUAGCAUGCAUGCAUGCAGUGCAGCCAGGCCAAGCCAAACAAGAAUGCUUUUCCAUGGACUGACGACAAACACAAGCUGCAUCUACACAAAUUCAUGUCCAACCCUGUAGCAGACAGGCAAUGUU